GACGAACGCUGGCGGCGUGCUUAACACAUGCAAGUCGAACGGAAAGGCCCUGCUUUUGUGGUGUUCUCGAGUGGCGAACGGGUGCGUAACACGUGAGUAACCUGCCCUUGACUUUGGGAUAACUUCAGGAAACUGGGGCUACUAUCGGAUAGGAGCUCCUGCUGCAUGGUGGGGGUUGGAAAGUUUCGGCGGUUGGGGAUGGACUCGCGGCUUAUCAGCUUGUUGGUUGGGUAGUGGCUUACCAAGGCUUUGACGGGUAGCCGGCCUGAGAGGGUGACCGGCCACAUUGGGACUGAGAUACGGCCCAGACUGCUACGGGAGGCAGCAGGGGGGAAUAUUGCACAAUGGGCGGAAGCCUGAUGCAGAAACGCCGCGUGCGGGAUGACGGCCUUCGGGUUGUAAACAGCUGUAGCCUGUGACGAAGCGGGAGUGACGGUAAUGGGUAAAGAAGCACCGGCUAACUACGUG
rnacentral:rRNA from 1 species